UUGGCCCAGAUCGUUUACCGUGAAAAAAUUAGAGUGUUCAAAGCAGGCAGAUCCAAUUUUCUGCCACCGAAUACAUUAGCAUGGGAUAAUGGAAUAGGACCCUGUCCUCCUAUUUUCAGUUGGUUUUGGCAGCGCGAGGACUAGGGUAAUGAUUAAUAGGGAUAGUUGGGGGCAUUAAUAUUUAAUUGUCAGAGGUGAAAUUCUUGGAUUUAUGAAAGAUUAACUUCUGCGAAAGCAUCUGCCAAGGAUGUUUUCAUUAAUCAAGAACGAAAGUUAGGGGAUCGAAGACGAUCAGAUACCGUCGUAGUCUUAACCAUAAACGAUGCCGACCAGCGAUUAGGAGACGUUGAAUACAAAACACCAGCAUCGGUUGCGGUCGUCCUUGGCGUCUCGGUUCGGCCGGGCGCGGGACGGUAUCCCGUGCCCGAGG
rnacentral:rRNA from 1 species